CCGUCAUUGACUUCUCUCUUUUUCUUUUUCUUAUUUUGUUUUGGGCUGGGGCUGUAUUCUGAAACGGAAGAAGAAACAGAGCAAAAACAGAGCAAAAACAGAGAGAGAGAGAGGAGUGAGUUGAGUGAGGAGACACGUUGGAGAAGAAGAAGAAGAAGACGGCUAAAUUUGGAAUUCUCGAUUUGUAAGCCAUAGGGUCGCUGGACCCGGCGGAAUAGCAAGUGGGGCACAAAUGGUCGCUGGACUCGACGAAAUAGAAAGUGGGGCACAAAUGGCCUCUGGACCCGACGGAAUAGCAAGUGGGGCACAAAUGGCCGUUGGACCCGACGGAAUAGAAAGUGAGGCACAAACGAUGGCUGGACCCGGCGGAAUAGAAAAAGGGGUUUGGAUGAAAUGUGCGGGGUCACGAUACCGUCUUAAAUUGUCAUAAGCUUCUAGUUGCGCGAAAGGACCACUUUUUGAUAUCGGGGAUCAUCUCAGAGAAUUAGGUAGGGACCUUAGUUAGUUAAUAAGUAUUAUUUUUAUAUAAAAUGUAAUGAAUAUGUUACGACAUGAAAUUUUUGUUUUGUUGAUUUAGUGAGGUGGUUGAGAAAAGAAAAUUACUCUCUUUUAAAAUGUACAUUCAUAUUAGAACUUGAUGGAUUGGUAUUAUAUUUUUGGGAGUCUAUGGAGGCCGGUUUUAUAUGUAUAA